AUUUAAGUAGUUUAAUAAAAAUAUUGAUUUGUGGUAUCAAAGUUAUAAAGAUUAUCUUAAAUU
rnacentral:tRNA from 1 species